rnacentral:rRNA from 1 species
UACAGAGGUCCCAAGCGUUGUUCGGAUUCACUGGGCGUAAAGGGUGCGUAGGCGGUCGAGUAAGUCUGACGUGAAAUCUCCGGGCCUAACCCGGAAACUGCGUUGGAAACUGCUUGGCUAGAGGAAUGGAGGGGAGACUGGAAUACUUGGUGUAGCAGUGAAAUGCGUAGAUAUCAAGUGGAACACCAGUGGCGAAGGCGAGUCUCUGGACAUUUCCUGACGCUGAGGCACGAAAGCCAGGGGAGCAAACGGG